UGCGCUUCAAAUUCAGUUGUAAUCUACUAUUCUUCGGUUGAGAAACAAAGUCAGAAAAACAAAAAGAUGCGUGCGUCUUUGCUUAUCGCGGCUUGUCUUGCGCUGGUCUUCAUCAUGUUUGGAAGCGUUCACGGUACCGAGAGUGGAACUCCGAAAAAGGUGGCACCACGAUCUGCUCCACUGGCGUAUUGGUAAAGACAAAAUGAAAAAGUGUUGUGAACCGGUUACGUAAGCGUAAAAAUUGUGUUACAAAGAGAAAAAAAGUCUUAACGUAUCCGAUGUUGAAAUAAAUAAAAAAGUGGUUUCA